rnacentral:rRNA from 1 species
AUUGAACGCUGGCGGCAGGCUUAACACAUGCAAGUCGAGCGAGCGGCGGACGGGUGAGUAAUGUCUGGGAAACUGCCUGAUGGAGGGGGAUAACUACUGGAAACGGUAGCUAAUACCGCAUACCAUCAGAUGUGCCCAGAUGGGGUUAGCUAGUAGGUGGGGUAAUGGCUCACCUAGGCGACGAUCCCUAGCUGGUCUGAGAGGAUGACGAGCGACACUGGAACUGAGACACGGUCCAGACUCCUACGUGAGGCAGAAGUGGGGAAUAUUGCACAAUGGGCACAAGCCGGAUGCAGCCAUGCAGCGUGUGUGAAGAAGGCCUUCGGGUUGUAAAGCACUUUCAGCGAGGAGGCGUUACUCGCAGAAGAAGCACCGACUAACUCCGUGCCAGCAGCCGCGGUGAUUC